rnacentral:rRNA from 1 species
GACGAACGCUGGCGGCGUGCUUAACACAUGCAAGUCGAACGGAAAGGCCCUGCUUUUGUGGGGUGCUCGAGUGGCGAACGGGUGAGUAACACGUGAGUAACCUGUCCUUGACUUUGGGAUAACUUCAGGAAACUGGGGCUAAUACCGGAUAGGAGCUCCUGCUGCAUGGUGGGGGUUGGAAAGUUUCGGCGGUUGGGGAUGGACUCGCGGCUUAUCAGCUUGUUGGUGGGGUAGUGGCUUACCAAGGCUUUGACGGGUAGCCGGCCUGAGAGGGUGACCGGCCACAUUGGGACUGAGAUACGACCCAGACUCCUACGGGAGGCAGCAGUGGGGAAUAUUGCACAAUGGGCGGAAGCCUGAUGCAGCAACGCCGCGUGCGGGAUGACGGCCUUCGGGUUGUAAACCGCUUUCGCCUGUGACGAAGCGUGAGUGACGGUAAUGGGUAAAGAAGCACCGGCUAACUACGUG